UGCUACACAGAGGCUCGAAUCCCUGGGGUUGGACUCGAUGAUCUCUAAGGUCCCUUCCAACCCGCACCAGACUAUGAUACUGUGAAUAUAAUAGCCUCCGUGUUGUCCACAAGCCCGUGGCAAUGCAAAUGUCAUGCGUUCUAAUUUUAGGCAGACGCUGCGUCUUCUUCUCAUUAGCCUUUGCUUAUUGUCAUAUGGCCUACCUUAACGAGACACAAGGCAGUUCUUCAGGGGAUGUGUCCGCUGACCAUAAAACAUUUGGGGUCUCCAGCCAAGACUUUGCUCUCGAGAUUAUUUCCAGCACAACUGGCGGCACAGAAGAGAACUGCCUGGAGCUGGGAAGAGAGACAGGGGAGGAGAGAUGAAGGAAGCUUACACAAAAUAAGAUUAGAACACUGUGGAUUUCUCUGGAAUAUGGAUUUUGUAUCAGAACAAAUAAGGUCAACAUCCUGGCAUUUGGCACUUUGUGCCUAAACUGAAGUCCCUAAUAGCUUUUUGUUUUGUUUUCUGUGUUAGCCAAAAUGAUGAUAAACCAAGUGGCUUUUAAAACACC